AGAGUUUGAUCCUGGCUCAGGAUGAACGCUGGCGGCGUGCUUAACACAUGCAAGUCGAACGAUUAAGACACCUUCGGGUGUGUAUAAAGUGGCGAACGGGUGAGUAACACGUGACCAACCUACCCCGUGCACCGGGACAACCACCGGAAACAGUGGCUAAUACCGGAUAAUGCUAGAUAAGCGCAUGUUUUUCUAGCCAAAGCACAUACGGCACGGGAUGGGGUCGCGGCCCAUCAGGUUGUAGGCGGGGUAACGGCCCACCUAGCUUUCGACGGGUAGCCGAGCUGAGAGGCUGAUCGGCCACAUUGGGACUGAGAUACGGCCCAGACUCCUACGGGAGGCAGCAGUGGGGAAUUUUGCGCAAUGGGGGAAACCCUGACGCAGCAACGCCGCGUGCGGGAUGAAGGCCUUCGGGUUGUAAACCGCUUUCAGUAGGAAAGAACACAAUGACGGUACCUACAGAAGAAGCCCCGGCUAACUACGUGCCAGCAGCCGCGGUAAUACGUAGGGGGCAAGCGUUAUCCGGAUUCAUUGGGCGUAAAGCGCGCGUAGGUGGACAUCUAAGCGGGACCUCUAAAUCCGAAGGCUCAACCUUUACGGCCGGGUUCCGAACUGGAUGUCUCGAGUUGGGUAGGGGAGGUCGGAAUUCCCGGUGUAGCGGUGGAAUGCGCAGAUAUCGGGAAGAACACCGAUGGCGAAGGCAGACCUCUGGGCCUUUAACUGACACUAAGGCGCGAAAGCUGGGGGAGCAAACAGGAUUAGAUACCCUGGUAGUCCCAGCCGUAAACGAUGGGCGCUAG
rnacentral:rRNA from 1 species